AAUCCAUGGUGAUGACACAUUCUCAAUAAGUCCUUAUACCUCUCCCACGUAUCGUAAAGAGUUUCUAAAUUCAUCUACACAAAAAAAGAGAUAUCAUUCCUCAACUU
rfam:Gossypium hirsutum cultivar TM-1 chromosome 15, whole genome shotgun sequence